rnacentral:rRNA from 1 species
GUCUGUGGUCAUGCCACCUUGAACAAGCCCGAUCCCAUAUGAUCUUGGAAGCUAAGCAGUGUCGGGCCUGGUUAGUACUUGGAUGGGAGACCACUUAGGAAGACCAGGUGCUGUAAGAG